rnacentral:rRNA from 1 species
GAUGAACGCUGGCGGCGUGCCUAACACAUGCAAGUCGAACGAGAUGCGUAUCGGAAAGCUUCGGCCGGAAGAUACGUUAUCUAGUGGCGGACGGGUGAGUAACACGUGGGUAACCUGCCUUAUGGAGGGGGAUAACAGAGAGAAAUCACUGCUAAUACCGCAUAAGCACACAUUGCCGCAUGGCAGAGUGUGAAAAGAUUUAUCGCCAUAAGAUGGACCCGCGUCUGAUUAGCCAGUUGGCAGGGUAAAAGCCUACCAAAGCAACGAUCAGUAGCCGAUCUGAGAGGAUGACCGGCCACAUUGGGACUGAGACACGGCCCAAACUCCUACGGGAGGCAGCAGUGGGGAAUAUUGCACAAUGGGGGAAACCCUGAUGCGGCGACGCCGCGUGAGUGAAGAAGUAUUUCGGUAUGUAAAGCUCUAUCAGCAGGGAAGAUAAUGACAGUACCUGACUAAGAAGCCCCGGCUAACUACGUGCCAGCAGCCGCGGUAAUACGUAGGGGGCAAGCGUUAUCCGGAUUUACUGGGUGUAAAGGGAGCGUAGACGGAGUGGCAAGUCUGAAGUGAAAACCCUGGGCUUAACCUGGGGACUGCUUUGGAAACCGUUAAUCUAGAGUGUUGGAGAGGUAAGUGGAAUUCCUGGUGUAGCGGUGAAAUGCGUAGAUAUCAGGAAGAACACCGGAGGCGAAGGCGGCUUACUGGACAAUAACUGACGUUGAGGCUCGAAAGCGUGGGGAUCAAACAGG